rnacentral:tRNA from 1 species
GGGCCGUUGGCUCAGCUGGUGGAGCGGCCGACUUUUUGUCCGUUGGUCACUGGUUCGAAUCCAGUACGGCCCA